rnacentral:rRNA from 1 species
AUUGAACGCUGGCGGCAGGCUUAACACAUGCAAGUCGAACGAGUGGCGGACGGGUGAGUAAUGCUUGGGAAUCUAGCUUAUGGAGGGGGAUAACUACGGGAAACUGUAGCUAAUACCGCGUACCAUAGGAUGAGCCCAAGUGGGAUUAGGUAGUUGGUGAGGUAAAGGCUCACCAACCGACGAUCUCUAGCUGGUCUGAGAGGAUGACCAGCUGCGCUGGGACUGAGACACGGCCCAGACUCCUACGGGAGGCAGCAGUGGGGAAUAUUGCGCAAUGUGGGCAACCCUGACGCAGCGACGCCGCGUGGGGGAUGAAGGCUUUCGGGUUGUAAACCUCUUUCGCUAUCGAACGGGUAGGUGGAGAAGAAGCGCCGGCUAACUACGUGCCAGCAGCCGCGGUAAUUC